GCAAGGGCCAGUCCCUAGAUAUUGUAUCGUGGAGAAUCUAAGGCAUAGGCAAAUCCUUAAUUGGAUGAUUAAGUUGCUUUGCUAAGUCUCUCAGCCGCAAAAUCACCUAUCUGGUUUUAGUAUUUCUUUUAUCAAGGUGGCCUCGUGAAGAAGGAAUUCUUUUCUUUUCUAAGGCAAAUAUAUCACAAGAAACGAUUUAUAACUCGU
rnacentral:misc_RNA from 1 species